rnacentral:rRNA from 1 species
GACGAACGCUGGCGGCGUGCCUAAUACAUGCAAGUGGGACGCAAGGGAACACACUGUGCUUGCACACCGUGUUUUCUUGAGUCGCGAACGGGUGAGUAACGCGUAGGUAACCUGCCUAUUAGCGGGGGAUAACUAUUGGAAACGAUAGCUAAUACCGCAUAAUAUUAAUUAUUGCAUGAUAAUUGAUUGAAAGAUGCAAGCGCAUCACUAGUAGAUGGACCUGCGUUGUAUUAGCUAGUUGGUAAGGUAAGAGCUUACCAAGGCGACGAUACAUAGCCGACCUGAGAGGGUGAUCGGCCACACUGGGACUGAGACACGGCCCAGACUCCUACGGGAGGCAGCAGUAGGGAAUCUUCGGCAAUGGACGAAAGUCUGACCGAGCAACGCCGCGUGAGUGAAGAAGGUUUUCGGAUCGUAAAGCUCUGUUGUAAGUCAAGAACGUGUGUGAGAGUGGAAAGUUCACACAGGA